rnacentral:rRNA from 1 species
UACGGGGGGGGCAAGCGUUGUUCGGAAUUACUGGGCGUAAAGGGCUCGUAGGUGGCCAAUUAAGUCAGACGUGAAAUCCCCAGGCUCAACCUGGGAACUGCGUCUGAUACUGGUUGGCUUGAAUUCGGGAGAGGGAUGCAGAAUUCCAGGUGUAGCGGUGAAAUGCGUAGAUAUCAAGAGGAACACCUGAGGUGAAGACGGGUUGCUGGGCCAACACUGACGCUGAGGCGCGAAAGCCAGGGGAGCAAACGGG